rnacentral:rRNA from 1 species
UACGGAGGGGCUAGCGUUGUUCGGAAUUACUGGGCGUAAAGCGCACGUAGGCGGCUUUGUAAGUUAGAGGUGAAAGCCCAGGGCUUAACCCUGGAAUUGCCUUUAAGACUGCAUCGCUAGAAUCGUGGAGAGGUAAGUGGAAUUCCGAGUGUAGAGGUGAAAUUCGUAGAUAUUCGGAAGAACACCAGUGGCGAAGGCGACUAACUGGACAAGUACUGACGGACUGAGGUACGGAAAGCGAUGGGGAG